GCCUGAAUAGGGUUUGAGGGUCUGUUUGAGUUGGGUGAAGAAGGCGGGAAGUUAAUCCUCUUCCAAUCAGCUCCCCAUCUCGCCCUCUGGCGGCUCCGGACCACAGGCCGAGUUACUCUGAUUACCGCCAUGCUCCAAGACCCGCACUGACAGUCCCCACGUGAGGGACCGCGGUGGGAGUCCUAAAUGGGGGAGGAGGGGACGGGCGGCACUGUGCAUCUGCUGUGCCUCGCGGCCUCCAGCGGGGUCCCCCUAUUCUGCAGGAGCAGUCGCGGCGGCGCCCCCGCCCGUCAGCAGCUCCCGUUCUCUGUCAUCGGUUCCCUCAAUGGAGUCCACAUGUUUGGGCAGAAUCUGGAGGUGCAGCUGAGCUCUGCGAGGACCGAGAACACGACUGUGGUGUGGAAAAGCUUCCAUGACAGCAUCACCCUCAUUGUUCUGUCAUCUGAGGUGGGCAUCUCUGAGCUGAGGCUGGAGAGACUACUCCAAAUGGUGUUUGGAGCCAUGGUCCUUCUUGUGGGACUUGAAGAACUGACCAAUAUCCGCAACGUGGAGAGACUGAAGAAGGACUUGAGGGCCAGUUAUUGCCUCAUCGACAGCUUCCUGGGGGACUCGGAGCUCAUCGGGGACCUGACCCAGUGUGUGGACUGCGUGAUUCCUCCAGAGGGGUCCCUCUUGCAGGUACUGGGGAUGCUAUGGAAACUCUUACACCUGUUCUGCUGGCCCUGGCUCAGUCCUCAUCCUCUUUCUUCUGGACCAUUGUCCCAACCUCCUCCUAUCCUCUCAGCUUCCAGUCCUAUCCCCACCUGGUCCCAGAAGAAUCUUUUUUCUUUUUUUUUUUUCUUUUCUUUCUCUUUCUUUUCUUUUUUCUUUUCUUUCUCUCUUUUUAUUUGAGACGUAGUUUCACUCUUGUUGCCCAGGCUGGAGUACAAUGGCACCAUCUCGGCUCACUGCAGCCUGCGCCUCCCGGGUUCAAGUAAUUCUCCUGCCUCAGCUUCCCGAGCAGCUGGGAUUACAGGCGCCCACCACUACGCCCGGCUAAUUUUUUGUAUUUUUAGUAGAGACAGGGUUUCACCAUGUUGGCCAAGCUGGUCUCGAACUUCUUACCUCAGGUGAUCCACCUGCCUUGGCCUCCCACAGUGCUGGGAUGACAGGCGUGAGCCACUGCGCCUGGGCCAUCUUUCUUUCUUUUCUGAGACAGGGUCUUGCUCUGUCAUCCAGGCUAGAGCACAGUGGCUCAGUCAUAGCUCACUGCAGCCUUGAACUCCUGGAUUCAAGUGAUCCUCUCAUCUCAGCCUCCCCAGUAGCUGACACUAUAGGCACUGUGCCACCACAUUCAGCUAUUUUUUUUUUUUUUUUUUUUUUGAGACAGAGUCUUACACUGUCACAGGGGCUGGAGUGCAAUGGCGCAAUCUUGGCUCACUGCAACCUCUGCCUCCUGGGUUCAAACGAUUCCCCUGCCUCAACCUCCCGAGUAGCUAGGAUUAUAAGCGCUGGUCACCACGCCUGGCCCAGCUAAUUUUUUGUAUUUUUAGUAGAGACAGGGUUUCACUAUGUUGGCCAGGCUGGUCUUGAACGCCUGACCUCGUGAUCCACCCGCCUCAGCCUCCCAAAGUGCUGGGAUUACAGGCAUGAGCCACCGCGCCCGGCUGACAUUCAGCUAUUUUUUUUUUUAAGAGAUGGACUAGGGUUGGGGAUGGGUUUCCAUUAAGUUGCCCGGGCUGGUCUCGAACUCCUGGGCUCAAGCAGUCCUCCCGCCUCAGCCUCCCAUAGUGCUGGGAUGACAGGUGUGAGCCAUCACACCCGGCCACCAGAAGAACCCUACUAUAUCCAGAGCUGGCUCUGCCCCUUUCCUGCUCACAGCCCUCCGGCAGCCUCCACCUCCCCCAGGACAAGGUCCCAGCUCCUCAGCCUGGUGUUUGAAGGCCUGUGGCACCUGGCACCCCCUAACCUGUUGCUAAAUCCACAGUCUACUUCCACCCAGCUACCUCACAGUCCUGAGAUCCCAACAAGUUUCCAACCUCAGUGCAUGUUCUUCCUCCUGCCUCUCAGAUCUCUAGCUACCUCUACUUAAAUACUGCUCUUGUGGACUUGCCUGGUGUGGCGGCCUCCCAGGCAUGUGACUCUCAGCAGGUGACUUGGCUUCUCUACGUUGCUAAUGGUGCCUACUCGGCAUGUAACAGGCCUGGAUGAACGGUAGCUGCUGCGGUUACAUUAUUAGCUUCAGUUUGCCCGCCCAGGCUAGAUGUUUAAUCAGAUUUCACAGACUUCACAGUGUGAGUUGGGGAUGUGACUUCGUAUGAAAGUGAAGGAACUCAGGCUCAGAGAGGGAAGCCCUCUCCGGGUUCGCUGAGGCCGCGGGCACGACCUUCGUCAGUCUGGUGGUGUCCGGCCGGGUGGUGGCAGCAACAGAGGGUUGGUGG